UCCAUUUCCCAAACUCUUCUCCUCCACUAUUUUUUUUCUUCUUAUCUUCUCUUUUCCUCCUCCUUCAUCUCCCGUAGCACCUUCAUCACUGUGUCUGUAGACACCACCACCACCACAACUCGUUCAUCUUCUUCUUAUUCCUUCAUCACUGAAAACACACAGCUCACCAUCACUGAAACCACUAUCAACGUAAUAACGAGCUAGCUGAAUAUUUCUUCACCAACUUAUUACACCAACAGAUCGAGCUGAAUACUUACUACCACCAACACUGAUUUGAGAUGUGAUUUCAAACCACCACCACCACCACCACCACCAUCUCAACUUCUUAAUCCAUCAAAGGUUCAUUGCAAAGGUUCAUGUGGAAGAACGUUGUAUCAUGGUUUUUGGUGUGGCUCGGUAAAUUUUUUGUUGAUUGUGAAAAUUUAUCUUGCCAGGGUGUUAUUAUGCCUGAAUUGGUGCCUCAAAGUUCGAUUGCAGUAUGGAAUGAAUUAGUUCUGUAGCAAUUGUGAUUUCAUGGGGGAGUUAGAUGUAUGUUAGGACUGAGAUUGCAGUUGCAGGUUGUGAUGUUGAAUGGUACGAAUCUCUGAUGUAAUUGGCACAAUCGGUUUUGCAGCUACAGCUUAGUGUUGGUGACUGAACAGCUGCAGGUAAUGGUGAAGUUGAUAUUGUGUUACUGCCAUCUGAUGAUAAGCAAUAGCGAAGCAAAUGGUGGAGCUGCAGGUUAUGAAGUGUUGUUAAGACUACAGAGAAGAUGGACCUGUUGUGCAGAUGAAAUGGAUAGAAGACAAAGAUGAACCUAAUGGUUGUGUCAUGGAAACUACAUGGAUGAAUGCUGGUAUGAUGUUGCUGAGACUGGAGGUAUUGAUACUGUUACUGGUGGUUUAGGCGAGGAGGAAAGAGUAGCUGAAAAUAUCUACAGUAAGAAAAUGGAGAAAGAGAAGCUGGAGAAUCUGGAGCCGUUGAUACUAUUACUGGUGGUUUUGAGUUGAAGAUGCAGAUGGUUUACAGGUGGAGUUGUGAUGAUGUUCAUGGGUUGGAAGUGCUAAGUCUAUAAGACUGCAGAAAGAAAUUGGCAGUGUUUGAGUAGGUUGAGCCGCAGUUGCAUGAGCUGAGUGUGGGAAGCUGAAUUGCAGGCAUAUGUUCAUUAUAUGUUGAUGUUGCAGUUGCAAUCUGAGACAGUGUGAAUUUAGAUUGUGAUGUUUGAUCUUAUUACUGUGAUUGUGAUUUUGAUGUUUGAUCUUAGUUCAGAGUGAACACCCUUUUUUAACUCCACCAGUGAAAAUAAUUUAUCAUCUCGUUGUCGGUCUCAAGCCCGGAAAAAGGAGGAGAGAGUAAGGGAAAUUUCUUUGAAUAGAUAUCCAUGUAGCAGUCUUCUUGUAUACUCAAACUAAUUUCUUUGCAUAACCUUGGGUCUAAAUCUAAAUCGACACAAUAUUUUUGUAUAA